GGAGAGGUUAUGAGGCAAUAGGAAAAGUGUCCACACCCUGGCACAUCCACACCAUGGAACGCUACUCAGCAAUGAAAAGGAACAACGUUCUGAUAUACACAGCACUUUGGAGGCAUCUCAAGGGAAGCAUCCUGAGUGGGAGAAAAACACCAAAAGGUGGCAUAUCGUAUGAUUCCACUUAUAUAACAGCUUAUUUAACAUGUCUGAAUGAGAAAAUUAUGGAGAAGGAGAACAGUAAUCUAGCUGACUUUUCAGUGAGUUCAAACUUCAUGUUUCCCAGUUUUGAAGAUGUGGUUGUAAUGUUGUCCUCGGGAGCGGAUAAACGUUUGGCUGUACUGGAAGGUGCUCUCUGAAAAGAAAUGAACUGUUCCACAGCCAUUGUGUAUGCUUUUGUGACCCCUGCUGGCAGGAUGUAAUAGUGUGCUUUCAAAAUCAGUUCCUUGAAAUGCUUUUCCUAUCUUAAAUUUUAAAAUAAUGAAUAGAGCACGUGACUAUUAAUGGGUAUAAAAUGUAAUUAAAGUUGGUUGCUAUGUGUAUGUAUCCUGUUCUUUUCCUAGAAAUUAUAAAGCUGCAGGCUGUUCCUAAAGCUGUUGUUAAAACCCUGUCCAAAGUGCUACUUACUUAACACUUUCCAUUUUUCACAAGGAAAAUGCUUAAUCUGAUAGCAUUUCAUCUCAAUCCUAACAAAACCAUAAAAUCUGAAAGCUGUUUUAUUACUGUUUAGAAGAAUAAAAUGCAUGAGAUGAAGAUUUUAUUAAAACAAUGUGUGAAGGCUACUAAGAGAAAAAAGAAAUAUAAAAAUACAAAACAUGUAUAAAUAACAAUAAAGUCCCUCUGAGGCUUAGAGGCUUGUGAAAAUUAUUUUUAGUACAAUUAUUUAACAUAUCUAUUGCUCUUUGAGUAUUUCUCAAUUUUAAAGUGGGUUUAAAAUUGAAACUUUGAUAUUUACUAGUUUUUCCUAAUCUUAAAUUUCCUAUUUUAAUUUAAAAUAGAGGAGACAGAAAAAGAAAAUAAAUUCAUAAAUAGUUUUCUAUGCCCUUCAUAAUACAACAGAUUAGUGCUUCCAGUUUUAUAAACAUUAAAAUUAUUUCUGCUUUGUUAAUAAGAUUCCAUAAUCCUAGAACUAGUGCUUUAAAAAAUCUAUGCUUAAAAUUAUCCGUAGAGAUUUAACUGUUUUUUAAAACCAUUGUCACCAGAAAUGGUUUUUAUCUUGCAGAAACUUUGAGAACUCUUCAAAAGCGAAUGUUUGAUUUAACACACAUUACUGUUAAUUUAUUUCCUGGUUAAAAAAAGAAAAAAGAAGAAGAAAUAACAUUUACAGCAGAUACAUGAGUUUAUUUUAUUAGCCCUUCAGUUAUUUUACAAUUAUUUGUAUGUUCUGGGUAAGUUUACACAGAGCACCUUGUGCUAUUUUAUGGAGAUUUUAAAACAUAUUCAUGUACCUCCUAAGGCAAAAAAAAAAAGUGUUUAAUCAGUUUAUGUAUACAUAAAUAAACUUUUUGAGUUAAAGGA
rnacentral:lncRNA from 1 species